AUUUAUUUAAUAUAAAAAGUAUAUUAAGCCUCCAACUUAAAAGUUUCAAUAAAGAAAAUAAAUA
rnacentral:tRNA from 1 species